rnacentral:rRNA from 1 species
AUGCGAUCGCUUGACGUGGCGGGGGCGGAGAGGUCGGAUCAGUACAACCGCAAGAAGCCGCGCCGCGAGACGGAGAUGCCCCUAGCCGGCUCCAUCGUCGCCGGUAGCAGCGGUGACUGCGGAGGCAUUGAGGAAUCCGGUGGGUGUCUCAGCAUGCGGGUGGAGGAUAUCGUGCAGCACCCCCUGCCUGGCUACGGGGCGCCGGUGGCGCUCAGCUUUAGCCCCGACGACCGGCGAGUGGCGUUCUUGUACAGCCCCGACGGAACGCUCCACCGCAAGGUGUUCACCUUCGACCCCGCCAAGGGCCGCCAGGAGCUACUCUUCGCUCCCCCUGACGGCGGUGGGCUCGAGGAGGGCAAUUUAUCCGCCGAGGAGCGGCUACGCCGCGAGCGUUCCCGGGAGCGUGGCCUUGGGGUCACUCGGUACGAGUGGCGUGCCCGUCGCUCUGGCGGCCCCUCUUCUCGUGCGGGCAUUGUCGUGCCUCUCCCCUCAGGGGUUUACUUUCAGGACCUGUCUGGCUCUGAACCAGUACUCAAGCUACAAAGUUCUUCCACAUCACCAAUUAUUGACCCACAUCUAUCUCCAGAUGGGACCAUGAUUGCAUAUGUCAGGGAUGAUGAACUGCAGUGCAAGACAUAUAACUUUGGUUUUGAUGAUGGCGAAACUAGGCAAUUGACCUAUGGUGCAAGAGAAAGUGGAAAGGUCCAUGGACUUGCUGAGUAUAUUGCUCAGGAAGAGAUGGAAAGGAAGAUGGGAUUCUGGUGGUCUCCUGAUAGUAAACACCUUGCAUUUACUGAAGUAGAUUCAUCUGCCAUUCCACUAUACAGAAUUAUGCAUCAGGGCAAAAGUUCUGUUGGUCUAGAUGCUCAAGAAGAUCAUGCUUAUCCCUUUGCGGGAGCAGCUAAUGUUAAAGUGCGCCUUGGAGUUGUUUCUUCCGGUGGAGGAGAGGUAACUUGGAUGGAUCUCCUUUGUGGAGAACCAAAUGGAGCACAUGGUGAUGAAGAAUAUCUAGCUAGGGUUAACUGGAUGCAUCAUAAUGCUCUUGCUGUUCAAGUUCUCAAUAGAGCUCACACAAAACUUAAGCUACUUAAGUUUGAUAUUGCCACCGGUAAAAGGGAAGUCUUACUUGAAGAAGAGCAUGAUAUAUGGAUAACAUUACAUGAUUGUUUCACUCCUCUAGACAAUGGAGUGAGUAGUAAACAUCCAGGUGGGUUUAUUUGGGCCAGUGAGAAGACAGGAUUUAGACACUUGUAUCUUCAUGACAAGAAUGGUGAGUGCUUAGGCCCAAUCACGCAAGGUGACUGGUUGGUCGACCAAAUUGCUGGUGUGAAUGAGAGUUCUGGACUUAUAUAUUUUACUGGAACACUGGAUGGACCAUUGGAGACAAAUCUGUACUGCACCAACCUCUUUCCUGAUUGGAGCCGUCCAUUACAAGCCCCUAAGAGGUUGACUCGUGGAACUGGACGGCAUUCAGUAAUUCUUGACCAUCAGUUGCUAAGGUUUAUUGAUGUGUAUGACUCAGUAAAAUCACCACCUGUGAUCCUGUUGUGUUCUUUGCUUGAUGGAAGUGUAAUAAUGCCUCUGUAUGAGCAGCCACUAACAGUUCAGCCACUUAAAAAGUUUCAGCAGCUGUCUCCAGAGAUGGUCCAGUUUACAGGAAAGGAUGGGACUUCAUUUUAUGGAACUCUCUAUCUUCCUGAUGAGAAGAAAUAUGGACCGCCUCCCUACAGAACACUUGUUAAUGUUUAUGGUGGUCCCAGUGUCCAGCUCGUUAGUGAUUCAUGGAUUAGCACUGUUGACAUGAGGGCUCAGUAUCUGCGAAGUAAGGGAAUAUUAGUCUGGAAGAUGGACAACCGGGGAUCUGCACGGCGAGGUUUGCAUUUUGAGGGACAGCUUAAGUACAACAUUGGUCAUGUCGAUGCUGAGGAUCAACUAGCUGGUACUGAGUGGUUAAUAAAGCAAGGCCUUGCGAAGCCUGGACAUAUUGGUCUGUAUGGCUGGAGUUAUGGUGGUUUUCUCUCGGCAAUGUGCCUAUCAAGGUUUUCCGACACAUUCUGCUGCGCCGUGUCUGGUGCCCCAGUGACUGCAUGGGACGGGUACGAUACCUUUUACACAGAGAAGUACCUGGGUCUGCCCUCAGAGCAUAGUGAUGCUUACGAGUACGGGUCAAUCAUGCACCAUGUGAAGAAUCUCAGGGGGAAGCUGCUCCUCAUCCACGGGAUGAUUGACGAGAACGUGCAUUUCAGGCACACGGCUAGGCUCAUCAACAGUUUGAUGGCGGAACGCAAGUCGUACGAGAUUCUCCUCUUCCCUGACGAGAGGCACAUGCCACGCCAGCUAGACGACCGGAUCUAUAUGGAGGAGAGGAUCUGGGAUUUUGUGGAGAGAAGCCUAUGA